rnacentral:sRNA from 1 species
UGGCCGGUGACUUUUGCUCCUGAGGGGGCG